rnacentral:ncRNA from 1 species
CCUGUGGAGCGUUACACCAAAUGCAAGUAGCUACGGCAAACGCAGACGCUUUGAAACAGGAA